CAGGGAGCGCCCUCAGCCCUGGAAUGGCGCCGCCAGCGUUCUGGCUCUCAGGAAGGGGCGGGCGCGGAGCUGUUGCAAACUGCGGCCUAGGUCACAUUUCCUGAAGAAAUUAUGGCCUUUCAUGCUUGAGCUUUACACACUUUCAAGCCUGAUCCACAAGAAGAGACAUCUCACCUGUGACACACACAGCAGCCUGUGAGCUCCAUGUGAUAUCCAGGUGUUAGGAAAGUAAAGGACUUGUUGCUACAAUUGUCUUUUUAAGGCUCAGUUUCAGCGAUCUCAGAGCCAGAGGGAGGCUGACAAAGCUUGAGAAGAAGGAUGCCCAUUGCCAGGGGACAAAAAGGAUGCAGGAUUUAGGGGCCAUAAAGACAUCUGGUAGAACUGCCAAGAUAAGGAAAACUCGGAUAAAGUAAACUCGGCACAUAGGCUGAACUCAGCUCCAGCUGGGUAAAAAAAGAGUGUGAUGUUUGCAGGCAACAGGGCUUUGGCACCAACAUCAUCCUGGGCCUGACCAUGGGAUGGUCCUGGUCACCAGAACACAGGUUACAGCUGUUGGAGUUACUGAGGAAAAUGUCAUAUGGAAUAGCCUCAUUUAUUUUGACAAAAACCAGUCUUCAUGCUGUGAUGGUAAUGGUAGGUAGUGAAAAGAGAGCUGCCUGUUGGAUUAUUCAACCUGUUGGCACCUACCAAAUGUGUCAACAUUUUACACAAAAAAAAAAAUAAAUUAGACAAUACCUGAGACAAAAAAGGCUUCUUAUAUUCUGUGUGCUAACAAAUACUUGUCUGUUUAUAUAACCUUAUUUGAGCUCUGGGGGAUAAAGUAACUUUUAGAAAAGCUUCUUUUAUACUGGAGUAGUGCUUUAAACUUAAAGACAGUAGUUCUUACAUUGUAAAGGAGAUGUAAUAAAAAUAUCUUCUAUUGAAGCA
rnacentral:lncRNA from 1 species